CCUACGUGUGGCAGCAGUGGUGAAUAUUGCACAAUGGGGGAAACCCUGAUGCAGCGACGCCGCGUGAGUGAAGAAGUAAUUCGUUACGUAAAGCUCUAUCAGCAGGGAAGAAAAUGACGGUACCUGAAUAAAAAACCCCAGCUAACUACGUGCCAGCCGCCGCGGUAAUACGUAGGGGGCAAGCGUUAUCCGGAUUUACUGGGUGUAAAGGGAGCGUAGACGGGGCGCCAAGUCUGGAGUGAAAUGCCGCAGCUUAACUGCGGAACUGCUGUGGAAACUGGCGAAAGAGAGUGCGGGAGGGGUAAGCGGAAUUCCUAGUGUAGCGGUGAAAUGCAUAGAUAUUAGGAGGAACACCGGUGGCGAAGGCGGCUUACUGGACCGUAACUGACGUUGAGGCUCGAAAGCGUGGGGAGCAAACAGGAUUAGAUACCCCGGUAGUC
rnacentral:rRNA from 1 species